rnacentral:lncRNA from 1 species
UUUUUUUUUCACUAUUCAUUCUCAGGUUUUCUUUCUUUCUCCCUGGCCUGACAGACAACUCUGAGUACAACUUCCUUUCUGCACCACCCCAGUUACCCAGUCAUCUACCACUCUGGCACUGCCCUGAACACAAACAUACACAAAUAACACAUUUUCACUUUUCUUCAGAUUUUCCUAAGCUUUGAUAAAUAGAAAUCUAACAGAACUCAGUGUCUUCUGUUUAUUUGUAUUAUUUUCUAAACUACUUUAUUGUAAUUUCAAAGCUCCAAAUUCCCAACUAAAAAUAGUAGUGUAUAGUAUACAAUAUACAAUAGUAUAUUCUAGUAUAUUGUAUAGAAUAUACAAUAGUAUAUUCUAGAAAUGUACCUAUUAAGAACUAGAAAAGGCAUUUCACCUUUUUUUAAAAACAUGUAUCUGGCUUUGCCUCGAUCAGCCCUUUAGGCAAAUGAUUUAUGGUUUCUCUGCUUUGGGUUACUUGCUACAAAAUAAAUAAAGAUGUUAAUAUAGUUUUGGUAAGGAUGACAUAUCAUAAUGAAUUGGAAAAAUAUAUUCUAAACUGUAAAAUGUUUUCAAGUGUCCACUGCUAUCAUUUCACUACAUUAACCUGGCAUAUACAGCUUUAAUGAAGCUCAAAAUGAAGACAGUUAACAAAGAUAGAGAAUACUAUUAAGAAUACUUAGAAACUUAGGUAAAAUUGACCAAAAAUGCCAUUUGAUUUCUUUUGUUUUACAGUGUGAAAUUUGUAUUCAUGUUUUGUUUUACACGCAUUUAGUAUUACUAUAUUUUCAUAAUUAAGGGUACAAUGAAGUAAGUGUAGCAAAUACCUUUCUAUAAAAGUAUCCCUGUGUAAUAUAUGAACUUUUCAUAGCAGAAAAGUUGUCACAGAUGAGAGAGAAAAGUCUUAGUUAAAAAUAAUUUUAUACAAAUAUUUUCUCUUCUAUUUAGCUCUCAAAACAUUCAAUUCCAGUAAUUACUGGAAAGUAGACAAUUUUGCAGGCUGCAUUUUUAUGUACUGUGAUAAUGGGUAAUUUACACUUCUGUAACCUGAAAGUUUAGCAGGUAUGUUUUUUCCUCAUAAUUUUAUGUUUCUGCUAUAAACAGUAAGUAUAGUCUGUUGGAGAACGUUGUUAGCCUCUCUGUGCUUAUUAUAAGAUUUUCCAAGUUUAAUAAUUAUGAAAAGAUAUUUAUAAAUCAAGAUAAUAUAGAGCAUUUAUGGUCUUACUGCUUAACAUUGGCUUUCAAAAUUACUUAUAUUAUGUUAAUAUACCAGGUGGAAAGUAAGACAGAAAAAUAACUGUAUAGUAGCCAUGAACACUCAUCUAAUAACUUAGUUGCUAUAUACUGCUUUAUAAGUAUUAGGAAAAAAAUCACUUUAAAGGACUAUAGUUGUACUUAAUGCUUCUUAAAAAUACAUCUAUUUAUAGUUGCCAGAAGGGAACAAUUCCUUAACUUAAACAUAAAGAAAUUGUUUGCAGUAUUACUCUUAAUGUAUUCAUAAAAAUAAACAUAUACCUAUGGGCACAGAGUCUAAGGAAUAGUAGAUGAAUAAUAAAUUUUAUAUCACUACUUAAGAACUGUAGGGAACCUUAAAAACUAUGGUCAACAUCUUCACUUUUAUAUUCACUGGAAAUGAAAACCAGGAGCACUAAAAAAAUAUACAUAUUGGACUUUCAAUGAAGUUUCAAUAAAUGCUAUGCAUUAUGAUGUUAUGUCAUGCAUUUUUUAAAAAUUAGUUCAUAUAUAAAACAAGCAGAAUGUGAGGUGAGUUGUCUACUAUAACUUUUGGGUCAGGUGAUCAUCUUUGGGAGUUUCCCCAUUAAUUAAUUUUAUUUUGACAAGAUCUAGUUAGUAUCAAAUAUAAACAUAGGAACAUGGGACAAUUGAACUAGUAGGAGCCAAUAAUAAGAGAAGGUAAGACUGAAUCUCUCAAGUGGUUCUAUUUAUUUAUUUAUUUUUAAGAUGUUAUUUAUUUAUUCAUGAGAGACACAGAGGGGGAUGGGGGCAGAGAUGCAGGCAGAGGGAGAAGCAGGCUCCCUGCAUGGAGCCUAUUUCUCUCUCUGCCUAUGUCUCUCUCUCGCUGUAUCUCUCAUGAAUAAAUAAAUAGAAUAUUAAAUAAAUAAAUAGAUAAAUAAAUAAAUAAAUAAAUAAAUAAAUAAAUAAAUACAUGUAGAUACUAUUUAAAAUGAGUACAAGUCAAUAGGGAUACAUGUAGGUUAUGUAAAAUCACAUUCCCAUCAAAUGUUCAGUGGGUAUAAACUUUUUUGUCUCAACUUUGGUCUAUUUCUACUUUCUACAAUUUUUUUUGAAAAAUAUAGAAUACAGGUACGCCUGAGUGGCUCAGUGGUUGAGCGUCUGCCUUUGACUUAGGGCAUGAUGCCGUGAUCAGGGAUUAAGUGCCACAUCGGGCUCCUUGCCAGAAGCCUACUUCUCCCUCCCCCUGUGUCUCUGCCUCUCUCUCUCUGUGUCUCUCAUGAAUAAAUAAAUAAAAACUUUAAAAAAAUAAAAUAAAAUUACAGAAUACAAACAGAAUAAGAUUUUACAGUAAAUGGUGAGAAAUGUAUUAUAUAAUUCUAAAUGGUUUAUUUCUAAAUGUUUUUAUAAGCAUUAUUGAUAGUAUACAAUUUGGCCAUUGACUUUAAAUUACAUAGAUUGCAAGAUCUUUAAAGUUUCUCUCAGCUUCAGAAUUGUGUGCUUUCUUUCAAAAAAUAGGAAAAGUAAAAUCUGCAGGAUUUAGAGCAAGAUUGCCAAAUGUAAGUAACUUCUAAGUGUAAGAAGGAAAAUAAAGACCAGAGAUGGUAAGAAAAUAGAGAUUAUGGCAAAGGAUAACUAGACAAUGUGGGCAGUGAGUGUCAUGCCUUUUGGCAUAGAUAUUCAUUCAUGUGAUGUUUUAGAAGCCAGACACUAGCAGCCUAGAAUUUCUAAUUCUAAGUAUGGAGAGUACAUGAAAGUUAGUAGAUUAUCUGUUCAAAUUACAAUAAAAAUGUUAAUUGUUCAUACUCUGGUCAACUAAAAUAUUUUACUAUAAAUGAUAUGAAAAAUAAUCAUUCUAGUAUAUAAAAAAGUUUUUGAUCUAGACAUUAAAGAAGAAAUGUAGAACAAAUAAAGAUGAAAUACCCUGCAGCUUAUCUUCACACAUUUUUACUGAUAAUUCAUUAAAAAACAUUGAGAAACUUUCUGUUCCAUAUGUUAUGUUUAUUAUAAUUAUGUGGAUCAUCUAUAAUACUUCAUAAAUAACCUGAAGGAGUUUUUUUUCUACAAAUGUAGUGUAUUGAAUUCAUAUUCUUAAAAGAUUUUGCCUUGUUUUCAAUUUUCAUUAUGUUUUCAGUAGUAAUCAUCUAAUAAUUUUAUUGAAAAAGGCCACAUUUUUGUUUCUGUGAGUCCCUAGUGGAGACCAGGAAUGUAUGAAUAGGUAUAAUCUCUAGUUAUCCAAAGCCUUCCUAUUUCAGUGCAUGAUUUCACCAUAUAGUUCCAUCAAAACUUAAGAAAAAUAAAAAUGGUGCCAGAAAGCCCAAAACUAAUAUUGUAAAAUUAAUUAUAACCAAUAUAGUGUUGAGUGAAGUUAUAAUGAGUUUAUAGUGUCUAAACUGUGGUAUCUAAAUGGAAGAGGAGAAGAAACCUAAGACAUGAAAAAUCAAACAGCAUUAAUUAGUUCAUGAAUGCUCCAAAGUUGAGUGGAUUAAAUCAAAUCAUCUUAUUUAAAAUAAAGAUAUUUAAUGCUAAGUGGUAUGUCCAGAGGAAAAAAAUAGAAUAUGAAUAAUUCAGAGAUAAGGUUGGCAUUCCUUCAAAAAUGUAAUCCUAACUUAACUUUCAUAAAUGUUUAGACAUUAAUUUAUGUAUUGUGCAUUUUUUCUCUUCCAUUAAAAUUGAAAAGUACUGCUUUUGUAUAUUCUCAUUUUUAGACUUUUUUUAGAAUUCUUUUUAAAAAUAUCCUUUUGUAUCAUUUAGAAGGUCUUUUUCCCCCAAAAUUGUGGUUUUAGAGAAUAGAUCGAUUUGUGUUUCAAAUUCCAGGGUAAUAAAAGUGUCACAGUUUUUGCAUUUGCUGUUGGAAUCUUAUUUUAAAUGCUGAGGUUUUAAGCAGAAGACAUCUUAUCUGAUCUGGAAUAGUGGCAUAGCUGAGAGAAUGGAAAAAUGAACCUCCAGACUAUUCAGAUGUAGUCUUUAAGCUCUAUAAGGUUCUGCCAUGGGCCUAUUCUAUACUGAAAUAUUAAGCCACUACCAAUGGUUGCCUUGCUAUUGAUUAAGGAUGUCUUUUGAAUGAUGGAUCUGUACUUGGCUACCAAGAAGUCACUGGCAGAGUUUCUAGCCUCUGAGUCCUAGAAAUGAACCAUAUGUACUUGAUUUAUUAAAUGGUUCUUCUGUUCAUUCAUUCAUUUAUUCAUAUUUUUGGUUAUUCCAAAAGCAUUGACUCAAUGCUUACCAUGCGACCUCCUUCAUAUGGAAAUUCAGGAUUCACAGUAAUAAACACAGUGCCUUCUGUCAAAAUACUUAAAGUUAGUUGUAAGAGAUACAUAUAAGAAAAGCAUUACACAACGCUAAGUGCUUUCUUCCAGCCAUGGUGAGAAAUUCAGUUUUGUGGGCAGGUGGCAUGGUAAAAGGCAGGGAAUAGGAGAACAGAAUAGUGGUUAAGUGUUUAUAUCUUAUAAAGCUACUCGUGAUUUAACAAGGAGGACUUCUGAGAUACUAUUAAUCCUAUCCACCACUAUGAUAUUUAUAAUAAUGUAUAUUUGAAUCAUUUGCUUUGCAGAUUCAAUCAACUGUCAAAUGAAUGAAAAUGUGGUCUUUCUGUGUAAAUUACUAAGUAGUACUGCCUACUUAUCUCUUAGGGCAUAUAUAUUUUCAGAUUGUGUAUUAAGAUAUUGCCUUUUUGCUACAUGAAAAUACUCAAUUUCUUUUUAAUGAAAGUGUAUUCUGCUUUUGUUCACCAUAUUGUAACUCCUCUGUGGUUAGUAAGUAUUAGUCACAAAAGAGGAAACUAAGGGAAGUGAAGUGUAAUUUUUAAAAAUUUUAAUUAGCAAAAGUUGUUCUCUAAACAAUUUAAUAAGGACAUUAAAUUGCUAUUAUACAAUGAUUCAGAAUCACUUGUUACUUUUAUAUAUGAAACAAAUGAAUACUGGUAUUUUAAAAAUAUUUUUUAAAUAAUUAAGAAAACAACUUCAUCUGAUUAACAAGAAAUCCAGAAUCACUUUAGGCAAACCUUUGCCAAAAGCUUGCUAUACAAAUGGUUGACACCUUUCCCAACUUUUUCCAUGAAGACAUACUUCUAGACAGAUAGGCCUCUCAUUCCUCUUAGAAUUUGAAUUAUAUUCCUUUGCUGAUACAGAAAUUAGAAGGUGAUAAACCAAUUAAUGCCAGUGAUUUCAGCCUAAGUACACAUUAGCUCUCAAAUCUAUGGCUGGAGGAGUUUUCAGACAGACUUAGGUCUAGGAACAUGGCUCCAAGAUCAGGCAUAGGAUAAUCCUUAUAUAAAUGAAUUAAUAACACUAAUGCUUAGAAAAUAUGCUGCAACAUUGGGGGGUAGCCUAUUUGAAAUAACUUUUCUUCUCACAUUACCUUAACUAUAAAUCUUUACACCAUAUUGAUACUUUUAUUUAUUGGAGAAUUCACUUGUAUGGCAUAUAUCAAGUUUUCUCACACCUCAGUUCAUUUAUUUUCUCAUCUGAGAGAUAAAUGAAGAUGCCUAUUGAACUCCCUUCACCACUACUAAUAUAUUAUUUUUUAAGAUUUUAUUUAUUUAUUCAUAAGAGACACAGAGAGAGAGAGAGAGAGGCAGAGACACAGGCAGAGGGAGAAGCAGGCUCCAUGCAGUGAGCCAAACUUGCGACUGGAUCCCGGGUCUCCAGGAUCAGGCCCUGGGCUGAAGGCAGUGCUAAACUGCUGAGCCAUCCAGCCUGCCCGAUAUAUUAUUAUUAGAAACAUUUUUGAUUCAGUGGUUCAGCUCCUAAUGCAACUUUUAAUUUGUGCUUUACUCUUUCAGUGGUGCCCUAGUUUGUUAUUCAGGUUAGUGGGAAAAUAAAAUGCAGCAGUGAUUUUUUUGUUUCAUUUUUAAUGUUCUCCAUAUAUAGUUAAAUGUGUCAAAUUCUUACUAUGUUGUUUAACUUCAAGACUUGUCUGUUAACACGUUUUAUUUUACUUAGCUUCAUAAUAAUAACAUUAUUUUCAUAAUGAAUAUAUGACAAUUAUAAACAACUCGAGCAACACAGGAAAGACAAGAAAUACAUUAUAAAUCAUCCAGAAGCCCUAUUCGUAAAUAACCAGUGCUUUGGUAAACAUGUAAACAUCAUUACUGACAUUCUUGUAUGCAUAUAGAUUAAGUUCUCUAAUUAUUUUGUGAACAGAUUCAGACUAAAUAUGCUUAUGUGUUUCUAGUGAUUUACUUCAAUUCAAGGUUGUAUAGACUCUACCUCUGAAAGUGAAAGGCAAAUAAUUGACCUUGUUUCCUAACAUCCUUGGAACAUAGCAUUUAUAUUGAAUAAGGCCUGUCAAAUUCACUAGCUAAUUUAAAAAAAAUAGAAGCUAUACAUUUAAAAGUGAAAAAUUAAACUCCUUCCCCAAGACACAUAAUAAUUUCAGAAAUUUUUAUUGUACAACCAAAAUUUCAAAAAUGAAGGUAACCAAAUUAUUUCUUCCAAACUUCUUGUGUUGUGAAAAUUGAGAGAAUAGUAGAUAAAAUAGCUUAUUAUCUGUUUUUUGUUUGUUUGUUUGUUUGUUUGUUUGAUUGAUUGUUGGCUUCCUUGUCUGUUACAUUGUUAGUAUUUUUAAGAAUCAACUUUUACAAAGGCUCUAUAUGUACGAAGAGUGUCCAGAAGUAUGCAAAGGCUACUUUCAGAAUCAUUAGGUGUUUUUCUUCUUAUCUAAUGGGAAUUUUUUACAUAUAUAUAUACAUAUAUAUAAUGUGUAUGUUUAAUAAUGUGUGUAUAUAUAGUGUAUAUAUUAAUAUUGUGUGGGGCACCUGGGUGGCUCAGUUGGUUAAAUGUCUGCCUUCAGCUCUGGUUAGGAUUUCAGGUCCUGAAAUCGAAGCCCACGUCAGGUUCUCUGUUCAGUGGAGGGUCUGCUUCUCCCUCUCACUCUCCCUGUGUGCUCUCCCUUGCUCAAAAAAGAAAAAUGUGUGCAUAAAUAAAUAUAUGUAUAUGUGUGUGCAUGUAUGUAUGUAUGUGCAUAUGCAUGUGUGUAUGCAUGUGUGUGUAUGUUAUGAAGUUCCUGGCUAUGGUUAGAAGUUCCUUCAUAACUGCAACACCUCUGUCACUAAAUUUAUGUUACAUUAACAAAAAUACAAGUAAUCAAACAAGAAACCCACAGAGUUUGUAUAUCUUGACAUUAAAUAUCGUGUAAUAAACCUUAUAAACAUGAGUGUCCAUAGAAAGAGCUGGCUUUUCAAACCAUUUGACUACUGCUAAGGAACCAUUUCUGCUAAAAAGAUGAAAUGAAAUGAGUUCGAAGGACGAAUGGAGCAUCCUGGAAGUUCUUUAAACUGCUUCACUGUCUUAGUGAAGAUUUUUCUGGCAUCAGUAUUUCCCAUACAUCCUCUUCCUAAGUGGAAACUGUGUUGCCAGGUGCCACUGGCCAGGACAUAUAAUAAAUUAAGAUAUACAUUUGGUUGGUCUUUUAUCUUCUGACUACUAUGAAAAUUAGAGUUGACCUGACAGGGUGAUUUAGAAUACUUGGUUCAAUGAAGUCACCAUUUUUCUAAUUGGUCACAGAAGGCAAUUAGGCACCAACUCAGAUGAAUUGGUGUGACCUCCUGCUGUGCUGUUUUUGAAAAGUGUUGUAAUUCAUUUUCAUGGCUAAGUGAAAAGAGUGUUGUGAUCAAUUUGCAACAUGUACUAUGCUGGAAAAAGGCUUACCAGAAAUAUACUUGCUUUCUACGUGCAUCUGUGUCCCAGGUCCUCAGCUUCAGGACACUCAUACAACACUCACUAACAUGCUUUGAAUUUUGGAGGUCAAUGUUAGGUUGAGUUUCGAAUUUGCUUUCAGCUCUCAGAAGUUUACCUUUGUGAAGUGUGUGUGUGUGUGUGUGUGUGCUUGUGUGUGCACAUGUGUGCACAUAUGCGUAAGCACUUCUAUGUUGGCUUGGAAGAGCACAUUGUAAAAUACAGUGCCAAUACAUAUAUGCAAAUAACAGUGUAUAGCUUAAAUUCAGCUCCUUUAAAGUUUUUUCAAAAGCGAAUACAAUUUGUAAUGACAUUAGGGAUAAAGCAAGGAAAAAUCUGGUGGAAAGCCAGUUUCAGUAAUAAAAACUCUUUCAAUGCCAUGUGAGCACUUAUUAGAAAUAAGGAACAAGAUAGUCAAGUAAAUGAGAAGGAAAAAAGACUAGACUAUGUUGUACUAGUUAUUUUUCAACUUUGGGUUACAACUGAAUGGCCAUUACCAGUAAAGAAGAAAUAACCAUAUAAUGGAUGUGUCCUUGAUUUUCAUUUUUUACCUAGCUGGGAGAAUAUACAGCUAUUGCUGGAGUGAACAUCCCCAUGGAAGUCAGACAUUGAAUGAAUGAAAGACUUCCAUCUUUCUAAUGAACAAGGUAGUUGGAAAAUUUUGAUAAUGAAAUAGAGGAAGAGAUAGAAAUUUUACAUUUGCAUGUUAAAUCACUGCUUUGGAGCAUUAUCAGUAAUUAAUGAAUCACAGCAGAAGUAAAUUUAUCCCUUAUACUUCUAACUUCAUCAAAAAAUUCAGGGAAGCUCAAUUGUGUGCAGAAGUUGAGUAUUUGAAUAAAUUUUAUAAACAUUUAUAAGAGUUGUGGAUUUAAAGGAGAAGCAUCAUUAUAUGCCUUUAUGUUAGUUUUCUUUUAAUAUUGAUCCAAAUAAAUGUAUAGUUGGUAUGUUAAAUAAUAGUUUAGACCGUCAACAUAUCCAUAAUAAAUAGCAGAUUUCUAAUAAUUUACAUAAAAAUAAUAAAGAUCUAUAUUUAUAGCAUAUGAUUUAACUAUAAUUUUUCUUUUUAAGUUUGCUUUAAUUUUAAUUAUGCAUAGAAAAGACUGUAUAUGAACUAUAUAUAUAGUUCAAGGAAAUGUAAUAAAACAAACCCCCCAUAACUGUGGCUCUGCUUCAGAAAUUAGAUUUUUGGGGGUUAGAGGGAUGGGUGAAAUAGGUGAUGGGGAUUAAGGAGGGAACUUGUGAUGAGCACCAAGUGUUGUAAUGAAUUGUUGAACUACUAUAUUGUACAUCUAAAACUAAGAUAACACUGUACAUUAACUAACUGGAAUUAAAAAAAAAA